rnacentral:rRNA from 1 species
UACAUGGGGGUGCAAACGUUUGCUCGGAAUUAUUGGGCGUAAAGCGCACGUAGGCGGUUCGUUAAGUCGGAUGUGAAAGCCCUCGGCUCAACUGAGGAAGUGCACCCGAAAACUGGCGAGCUUGAGUACGAAAGAGGAUCGCGGAAUUCCCGGUGUAGAGGUGAAAUUCGUAGAUAGUCGGGAGGAACACCGGGUGGCGAAGGCGGCGAUCUGGGGUCGAUACUGAACGCUGAGGUGCGAAAAGCGUGGGGGAGCAAACAGGGAUUAGAU